UUGGAGAUAAUUGAUCAUCGAUGACCAGAACUGGGGGGUUUCCCCUUAGAAGUUGAUGAGAGGAUGUCGUAAAUAACUUAUUGUUACAUCUUUAUGAGGAUUUAUGUGGAGACGUUGUUUGUUGAGGAAAGAUUGAAACCGCAAGCUUAGAUAUAGUACAGUGGUAUAACAUUCUUAAGGGGGAAUAGGAACUUUUCCAUAACGCUAUGCUAGUCUAUGCUACUAAAUACUAACAGUGUAUUAAAAUUUUGGAUUACUAUGGCUUUAGACUACUAAAGCUUUAGAUUACUAAGUUUUAGACUACCAAAGCUUUAGACUACUAACUAAGUCUUUGACUACCAAAACUUUAGACUCCUGAAGUUUAGAUUACUAAAGCUUUAGAUCACUAAUGCCAACUCCUAGUAUUACCCACCUAUCUAAGCACUGCUAUACUAGUCUACUAACAAAUCCGAGACAGAAAUAUACUCUACCUUCCUUCCAAUCACCACAGGAGGAAGGAAGAUUGCAAGGGUAUAGUGAGAGGAUAAUUUUGAAGGAAUUACAGUGGACGCGUCGAAUUUCUCAGGAACGGAAGAACAAGCCAGCCUCUUUAUUUGCAUGGAAACGUAACGAAUCAUCGGUGUUCACGUGACCGAGCUCUAUUCUUCUACCGAGAAUGAGACUCCAGAAAGAGGGACAGGUUUUUCUGGAACGAAGAAAAAGUCUGUUCGGUAGGAAAGCAAGUAAAAUGAAAGCUCGUUGUUUCGCAGCAGGUCACAGAUUGGCGCGGUUGAUUACUCGGAAACCACACUCGGAUCGAUCGUGGUGGAAGAAAAGAGCAUGGAAAGUCGAGCGAUACGGAAUGCACAACGACGGGAUAAAAAUGUUCCCAUACCGUGGACUAUUGGCGUGGUGCGACGCGUAUGAAGAAGCAGCACCAGGGAAUAUCGAGAUGCUCCAGUUGCUUUUGUUCCGCAGAAACACGCCUGAUAAACGGGAGCCUCGUUCUUUGACCUGGCAACUAUGUUUUCCGCGGGAUUAAUUAACGAGUCUGUUAUUCUUUCACUGAUUAUACUGUGUUUCAGCUUCACGAGAAACACCUUCAACUUCUCAUCAAGUGCUUUUAUUCGAUUAAUUUACACAAAUCAACUACAUACUUUAUCUGUAGUAUUUUCAUUUCAUCUUGUAGAUUUAUAUAUUUAUUUUUUUAAAGUAAAUAAAGUUUUUCUCUUUUCUAAGUUAACUCUUUGAGGCACGGAAUUUUUGACAAUAACAAACCCAAGUUGAACAGAAAUUUUAUUCUUAUAAAAUUUAAUAAAUUAGGUUCAUUUUAAUUAAUAGAGAAAUAAAAUUACAUAAAAUUGAUCAAAAAUUUACAAAAAAAACAACAUUUAAUUAAUUAAUUGAAUGGGACAUAAACAGCCCCGCCGUGCUUUGUGGGUCUAUGAAUGGUAUUGAUUAAAACACAUUGAUGAACACAGUGUGCUGUUGAAGUAGCUGGGUCUCAAUACAAACCUCUGUAUCGAGUAAUUUUAAUUUUUCGAGUUGGUAUAAAAAACAUCCCAACAUGCAUAUUUAGGUAUCGAAAAGGUGGGACAUUUUUAGCUCCACCGUGCUUCAAAGAGUUAAAGAUUUCUUCUGAACACAGGUACACAAGUUGUUUAUAAAAAGAAAAUUAAUAUUAGUAUAUUUUUAAGUAAGAGGACACUUAUGGAAAAAUAUAGUGGUUUGUUCAUUGGUAUGUUUAAUAGUUUGCCGUUGACAGAGAUGGGUACCCGGGUACCGAGAGGAAAGGACGAGGCUCUGCGAAGGCUCUGCGAAGGCUCCAGGGCAACCACGACGAGUCUCCGAAUCCGAUGUGCGCUCAAGCCCGAUCAAUAACACGGGGCGUGCACCACACCGAGCUACCCUUUUCCUUCUCGUCAGCCAGGGGUCCUCCGGUUGGUACCCCAGCUGAUCUCCGAUAUCAAUUGAUCUAUUAGCACAAUCCUUUCAACUUUCUCUGCAAAUUCAACUUUAAUACAUUGACUGCCACCCCAACCACAUAAGAGCAAUUAAAUUUCUAUAAGAAUUAAAAUUUUCUAUAUCUUCAUUGUGGCAGUCAACGUGUUUGCAAUAUUAAUUUGUAAUUAAAUUCAUUUCAUAAUGGCCAUGCUAGAAAUGAAUUACUUUUCUAUUAAUUAAUUAUCAAGACUUUCAUAAUGAAAUAAUUUUCUGUCUCCAUAGAACGAGAAAUGCAAACUGAAAGUGUUAUUAAUUUACUAAUUCGAUUAGUUCUGGUAAAUAAUUGAUUGUUAGUAAGAGAAUACGGUGACCCAGAAAACCUAUCAAGAGUUGAUCGUUCAUUUGGCGAUAUCUUUGCGAAAGCACGUCGCGGCUUCCGUUUCCUGUUUUCAAACCGAGGCCUAGCAAUUCCAAUAUGAUAAAGGCGUCCUGUCCUCGUACGUUUCGCAACACGAUAAAAUGUACACCAAAUAAAUAUACAAAUUUCUUGAUAAACUAUGCAAUAUGAAAGUUUCAAAAUCUUGAAGAUUCAAUCGGAAGUCGAUUCUUAAGAAAGUUCCUCAACGAUUUCAAUUUAAUAACGGAACUUUAAUGAUAUCUAUGCUAAAGUAUUUAAUUACGUAAAGAAAGAAAGAGUUAAUUAUUAUUUCUAUCGGAGAGGGGAUCGGCACGUGCUGCCUUUCUUCUUUGA